UUCGGCAAGUAUUCAAAUUUUAUUUCUGUGACCUAUGGAAACUUUAUGUAUAAACAAAAAAUUAUUCAAUUUUAAUAAGCUAAAUCGAAAUUCGCACGUAAGAUAUCUUUUAAUCAACUUAUAAGGAUUAUUUUCAGAAUUAAAAAGUGGAAGAUCAUUUAAUCAAUCACCGUAAUUUUAUUGUUUUUAAGAUUUUGUGUUGUAUAUUUCAACUGAAGCAAAACGAUUGACGAUAAUAAAAAAAAUAGAUCCAUUUUAAACUAGACCUUUACUCCAAACCCAUUUGUCUGUAAUAUACGAUGAGCCAUGAGUUAAUAGUUUAAUAAUUAUAAUACCUAAAUCCUUAGUAUUCAAAUAUAUAAUGUAUUAAUUUUGAUGACGAUAUACGGCUUCGUGAUUGGAAUACUUGCAGUGAAGAAUCACUCCAAAAUUGUAACAUAUAGCUUUUGAAUGACUCUGUACAAUUAUACGAUUGGACCUAAUAUUCAAUAAUAAUGGCUUACACCGACGAACCGCCCUAUUUCAAUUGGAAAUAUGAAUUCGAGCAGUUGUUUCGUGUGGAAAAUAAUUUGACAAUCUGGAAAUAACAAUAUUAUAAAAUAUUCAACCGUUUCAAUUGCACGACA